rnacentral:lncRNA from 1 species
CUUUCUUUUUUUUUUUUUUUUAAUUUUUUUUUUAAAUAUAAAUACACUGUAGCUGUUUUCAGACACACCAGAAGAGGGCAUCAGAUCUCAUGAUUGUGAGCCACCAUGUGGUUGCUAGGGUUUGAACUCAGGACCUCUAGAAGAGCAGUCAGUGCUCUUAACCGUUGAGCCAUCUCUCCAGCCCCUUUUCGGUCUUUCUAAUAUGUUCUUAAAUAGUCUUAUUUAUGAACAAGCCUAAUAUACUCAAGACAUGAAGUUAUUAUUGACUUAAACACAUACAAGCAAAAUUGUUGAAGACAUCUUGAUUUCUACAUCUGUAUAUAUCUCUGUACUUUCUUGAUUCAUGAGAAAAUAUGUAAGUGAAAUAACUCUUGUUUGAAUAACUCUUAUAUGUAGCUUAGAGCAGGUGUUAGACCAGCUUUCAGAAUAGGGUUAACUCACAAGAGAUUUACCUUGAAGUUUUUUCAACUCCAUAGGUUAUGUAAGGUGUAGCUUGAGUAACAUCACUUAGGAACAUAAUUUAGCUAGGGAUUGACUAGCCAGAGGUGUAGCUCAGUGUAGAAUGCUUUGUCUUGUAUAAGCAAAGCCCUGGGUAUUCGGUAUGGUGAAGGAGGGAAGAAAAGGCUGUAGACUGAUUUCACAGUGUAGUUUAACCAACAGUGGACAUGUGCAUGACUAGAUGUUUUGUAUGAUUAGGACUACAUUACUGAGAAUAUUAUAAUUUAUUAGCCAGAGGUUUUGUAUUGCCACAUGAUUAUGUACAAGUUAGUUUAUAUAAAAUAAUUUGUUGGUUUCAAUUUCUGAACAUCAAAAAUUCCACAAAUGUAACCAAGAUUAAUGUAUAAUUAAUAAGGUAAUGUUUAGCUGACGGGUUUUUAACUCUCUGUGAACUCUGUGUUUAUAAUUUUAAAUUGCUCUGUAUUUUAUGCUAGUUAAUUCAUGGGAGCCUCUUGUACUGCCACACAAUCUCAGUUCCUGCUGUACACUCUAACAAGCAGUGAAGAGACUGUUGGGUCAGUAGGUGACAGCUGCAGAGGUAUCUUCCUUGUAAAGAUGCUUUGUGAGGUUGCUGCUCCCAUCAAUCUGCUCAGUAAAAAUAGCUCAUCUUGGUAAGUUGUUUCGACUUCACCAGGACCUGAAGAAGAAGCAGAAAAACCUGUGAAAACUAAGACUGUUUCUUCCAGUAAUGGAGGGGAAAGUUCCAGUCGCAGCGCUGAAAAGCGAUCAGCUGAAGACGAAGCUGCAGACCUCCCAACAAAGCCUACAAAGAUGUCCAAGUUUGGAUUUGCCAUAGGUAGUCAGACAGCAAGGAAAGCAUCCGCCAUCUCCAUUAGACUCGGAGCAAGUCCUAAGGAAACAGUUCCAACUCUUGCUCCAAAAACUCUUUCAGUAGCAGCAGCUUUCAAUGAAGAUGAAGAUAGUGAGCCGGAAGAAAUGCCUCCAGAAGCGAAGAUGAGGAUGAAGAACAUCGGAAGGGACACGCCAACAUCAGCCGGACCAAACUCCUUUAAUAAAGGAAAGCAUGGCUUUUCCGAUAACCAGAAGCUGUGGGAGCGAAAUAUCAAAUCUCAUCUUGGAAACGUCCACGACCAAGACAAUUAAGAGAAGUGUUCUGAGAUUGGGGUGUGGGCGGGUGCAUUAGAAGGAGCAGUCAGCCUCCUUUUUGUAAAGAAUGGUGUAAGACUAGCUUUGGAGCCGUUUUUCUUUCUUCUUUUUUCUUUUCCUUUUUUCUUUUUUUUUUUUUAAGAUUGAGUGGUACACUAAUAAAUGAGAGUUUGCAAUUAGAGGUAAUUUAUGUUUUAUAUACAGAUUUCAAGACAUUUGCUAAUUUUGUAGUUUCACAUGAUUAGUUUCCAAGGGUUACAGAUAAUAAAGAAAUCAGAAGUGGUACCUUUCU